rnacentral:rRNA from 1 species
UCGAGCGGACAGAUGGGAGCUUGCUCCCUGAUGUUAGCGGCGGACGGGUGAGUAACACGUGGGUAACCUGCCUGUAAGACUGGGAUAACUCCGGGAAACCGGGGCUAAUACCGGAUGGUUGUCUGAACCGCAUGGUUCAGACAUAAAAGGUGGCUUCGGCUACCACUUACAGAUGGACCCGCGGCGCAAUAGCUAGUUGGUGAGGUAACGGCUCACCAAGGCGACGAUGCGUAGCCGACCUGAGAGGGUGAUCGGCCACACUGGGACUGAGACACGGCCCAGACUCCUACGGGAGGCAGCAGUAGGGAAUCUUCCGCAAUGGACGAAAGUCUGACGGAGCAACGCCGCGUGAGUGAUGAAGGUUUUCGGAUCGUAAAGCUCUGUUGUUAGGGAAGAACAAGUGCCGUUCAAAUAGGGCGGCACCUUGACGGUACAUAACCAGAAAGCCACGGCUAACUACGUGCCAGCAGCCGCGGUAAUACGUAGGUGGCAAGCGUUGUCCGGAAUUAUUGGGCGUAAAGGGCUCGCAGGCGGUUUCUUAAGUCUGAUGUGAAAGCCCCCGGCUCAACCGGGGAGGGUCAUUGGAAACUGGGGAACUUGAGUGCAGAAGAGGAGAGUGGAAUUCCACGUGUAGCGGUGAAAUGCGUAGAGAUGUGGAGGAACACCAGUGGCGAAGGCGACUCUCUGGUCUGUAACUGACGCUGAGGAGCGAAAGCGUGGGGAGCGAACAGGAUUAGAUACCCUGGUAGUCCACGCCGUAAACGAUGAGUGCUAAGUGUUAAGGGGGUUUCCGCCCCUUAGUGCUGCAGCUAACGCAUUAAGCACUCCGCCUGGGGGAGUACGGUCGCAAGACUGAAACUCAAAGGAAUUGACGGGGGCCCGCACAAGCGGUGGAACCAUGUGGUUUAAUUCGAAGCAACGCGAAGAACCUUACCAGGUCUUGACAUCCUCUGACAAUCCUAGGAGAUAGGACGUCCCCUUCGGGGGCAGAGUGACAGGUGGUGCAUGGUUGUCGUCAGCUCGUGUCGUGA